rnacentral:rRNA from 1 species
GAACGCUGGCGGCAUGCCUUACACAUGCAAGUCGAACGGCAGCGGGGGGAGCUUGCUCCCUGACGGCGAGUGGCGGACGGGUGAGUAACACGUAGGAAUCUACCUUAAUUAUAAUAGUUAGUGGGGGAUAACCCGGGGAAACUCGGGCUAAUACCGCAUAAUCUCUUCAAAGCAAAGCGGGGGAUCUUCGGACCUCGUGCUAUGAGAUGAGCCUGCGUCGGAUUAGCUAGUUGGUAGGGUAAUGGCCUACCAAGGCGACGAUCCGUAGCUGGUCUGAGAGGACGAUCAGUCACACUGGGACUGAGACACGGCC